AAAUGAAAGCUAGAUCAGCAAGUUUAUCCGCAACCAUGUUGCACCUUCUAUUCACAUAUGUGAGCAAAGGUCUGUAACCAUUUUGAGGAAUCAAUUCACAGUCUUGUAAAAUUGUUCCCAUAUAUAAGAUGAUGGGUUUUUUUUUUCCACGCUUGAACCAAAGCUUAACAGUCUGAUUCAAGACAUAAAGGCUGAAACAAAAGUUAUGCUGCCAACAGUAAAGUCCAUCUAAAAGCCAAACAUUCUGCUACUUUUGGAUCAUAUUCAUGACGCAGAAAUUUUGCUGCAGCAACCAAGACUUGACCCAUAUGAUUCCUGUACACAACUCCUAAACCAGUACCUAUAUUCCUGCCUACUGAGGCAUCAAAAUUAGCUUUAACCUGUUGGGGAACAUGUCCUUUUCAACUGUGUUCUAUUGUUGCUGCAACAGAUUGAAGUUGCUCAUUGUGCC
rnacentral:lncRNA from 1 species